AUGUAGACACUACAAGGGCCUUCCUUCAAACUUGAUCAAUAGAGUAUGUUAAGAUCUUAGUGAGCUUGUUGUGCUAUCUAUAAGGCUUCCUAUAGAAAUUGAUAUGAUGUUGACCAAGUGCAUAUUGAUGCUUAUGGUAUAUUUGAAUAGUAUUGCUUUGUUGUGCUAUUUACAAGGGCAGCAUUAUUUAAGUAUGACCAUAUG
rnacentral:lncRNA from 1 species